UACGAAGGGGGCUAGCGUUGUUCGGAAUCACUGGGCGUAAAGCGCACGCAGGCGGAUCGAUAAGUCGGGGGUGAAAGCCCGGGGCUCAACCUCGGAAUUGCCUUCGAUACUGGCGGUCUCGAGUCCGGGAGAGGUGAGUGGAAUUCCUAGUGUAGAGGUGAAAUUCGUAGAUAUUAGGAAGAACUCCAGUGGCGAAGGCGGCUCACUGGCCCGGUACUGACGCUCAGGUGAGAAAGCGUGGGGAGCAAACAGG
rnacentral:rRNA from 1 species